rnacentral:rRNA from 1 species
AACGAACGCUGGCGGCAGGCUUAACACAUGCAAGUCGAGCGCCCCGCAAGGGGAGCGGCAGACGGGUGAGUAACGCGUGGGAAUCUACCCAUCUCUACGGAAUAACGCAUGGAAACGUGUGCUAAUACCGUAUACGUCCUUCGGGAGAAAGAUUUAUCGGAGAUGGAUGAGCCCGCGUUGGAUUAGCUAGUUGGUGGGGUAAAGGCCUACCAAGGCGACGAUCCAUAGCUGGUCUGAGAGGAUGAUCAGCCACACUGGGACUGAGACACGGCCCAGACUCCUACGGGAGGCAGCAGUGGGGAAUAUUGGACAAUGGGCGCAAGCCUGGUCCAGCCAUGCCGCGUGAGUGAUGAGGGCCCUAGGGUUGUAAAGCUCUAUCACCGGUGAAGAUAAUGACGGUAACCGGAGAAGAAGCCCCGGCGAACUUCGUGCCAGCAGCCGCCGUAAGAC